rnacentral:rRNA from 1 species
CGGGCAAGGAGCCGGGGUCGCCCGAUCGGACCCCGGACGUGAAGUCGACGAUGGUCGGUGGGCUGGUUUUGGUAAGCAGAACGGGCGAUUCGGGAUGAACCGGAAGCGGGGAGAAAGGGCCCGAGAUUGCGUCGACGCGGAUCCCGAAAAGGGCGUCGAUCCGUCGCGACAGCGGGACGGUGGUCAUGGAAGUCGAAAUCCGCUAAGAAGCGUGUAAAAACGUACCCGCCCAACGGAUCGGCCCCGAAAAUUGAUGGCGCUCGAACGCAACCCUCGAACCCCGCCGACGGAGGCUAGGGGAGGCCCCGUCGAGUAGGCGGACGCGCGGGUCGCUUCGACGCUCUCGCGCGAGCGGGGGCGGAGCGGCCCGUGGUGCAGAUCUUGGUGGUAGUAGCGAUCACCCAGGCGAGAACCCCUGAGGGCCGAAGUGGAGAAGGGUUUUCUCGAGAACGGCACUCGCUCGAGAGUUAGUCGAUCCUAAGCUGCCGGCGGCAGCCACGAAACGGUCGAUCGGGCGCGAGCCCGGCAGCCACGACCGGGCAGCGAAAGGGA